CAGCAGCCGCGGUAAGACGAACCGUGCGAACGUUAUUCGGAAUUACUGGGCUUAAAGCGCGUGUAGGCGGGCCGCCACGUCGGUCGCUGAAAUCCCCCGGCUCAACCGGGGAAGUGGCAUCGAUACGAGCGGCCUUGAGGGGGGUAGGGGGAUCUGGAACUUCCGGUGGAGCGGUGGAAUGCGUUGAGAUCGGAAGGAACGCCCGUGGCGAAAGCGAGGUCCUGGACCCUUUCUGACGCUGAGACGCGAAAGCCAGGGGAGCGAACGGGAUUAGAUACCCCCGUAGUCCCUGUCUCUUAUA
rnacentral:rRNA from 1 species